rnacentral:lncRNA from 1 species
CAACUCAAAAGAGUGUCGGCAGUGAGUGAAGUUACUGCAUUUUUAUGGUAGAACAGAGCUGGUUCAGGGGCUGUUUGAACAACUAUUCUGGUGGAGGAAGACGAUGUGCUCGCUUUUGGUUUUUUGCCGGAGUUUCAAGCGAAUUUUGAAGGCUGUUUCAAAGAUGGAAUUGAGCAGAUUUUGCUAAAAUUUGGGGUCAUUUUGGGGCUAAUUUUUCAGCAGCUUUACAACUAAUUUUGCUGCAUUUUUGGCAGAUCUCAGCUGCAUUUUUUUUUGUUGUUUUGGAGCCUGAUUUUUUGUGGUUUUCGCAGCUACAAAUCUACUGGUUUUUU